UCACCGCUACCUUCUCUAAAGCAGAAAUCACUCCUUAGGAGUCACUUUGUCUUAUCUUCAGUAAGACAUAUUUUAAUAUAUGAUCAGUAAUUGACACAAAGCAUUCUAGGACAGACACCAUACUAUUAUCUCCCACAUUGAUAUUUAUUACAUUCUAGCAAAAACAAGUAACAAGUUCAAUAACUGAAUUCACAUUAACAGGUUUCAUUUUGAUCCAUUAGCCAAUCUGGAAAAAAGCCAUAUUGAUCAAAGGGAUUAAAAGUAAAAAGCACCUUUUCCUUGCUACAUAUAAUAUUUAACACAAUGGCCCUGAAACGCCAAACAGCUAUCUGAUACAAAAUCCAACUGUAGGAUUCUCAUUUUAAUUAAGACUACAACAUGGAUUUGUCUCUUAUAUUUUUAAGGGUUAUACAGUUAUUAAAAAAAUGUUUUAACUAUUUGGCUUAAAAUGAAAAUACACCUGUGAGAACUAUACUCCAUAGUUAAUACCUUUGUACUGAAUUCUCAUGUCACUUGGAACCUUAACCUAGUCUAAACUUGAGAUAACUUACAACUAUCACUUUUUAGAAACAUUUUUUGGUACUUCAGUCAAGUGUGAGGAGAUUUUAUUCUAAAAUCUAGGGCUAGAAUUUAAACUUCCAUCCUUGGGCAACACCAUUAUGACUACUGAGAAAUCCAGAUACCUCAUCAACAUUUCAGAGCUAUGCCUGAUAAGUGACAUUUGAAGAUUAAUAUAGAAUUAACAGAAUUUAUACUCUUGAGCCCACCUAAACCCAUAUUUAGGUUUUAUAUUUACAGUAUUGUCCCGGAGGAAUGAGAGUUACACU